CACGGGGGGAGCGAACGUUGUUCGGAAUCACUGGGCGUAAAGGGCGUGUAGGCGGUUCGGUAAGUGGAAUGUGAAAUCCCCCGGCUUACCCGGGGAACUGCAUCCCAUACUGCUGGACUUGAGUGCGGGAGAGGAUGGAGGAAUUCCUGGUGUAGCGGUGAAAUGCGUAGAUAUCCGGAGGAACACCAGUGGCGAAGGCGGCUUACUGGUCCGGUUCUGACGCUGAGGCGCGAAAGCGUGGGGAGCAAACAGG
rnacentral:rRNA from 1 species